UUGAUACUCCCUCCAUCACAAAAUUCUUGUCUUAGUUUUGUCUAGAUACGGAUGUAUCUAAUACUAAAACAUGACUUGAUACAUCCGUAUUUAGACAAAUCUAAUACAAGAAUUUUGGGACAGAGGGAGUAGUAU
rnacentral:pre_miRNA from 1 species